GACGAACGCUGGCGGCGUGCUUAACACAUGCAAGUCGAACGGAAAGGCCCUGCUUUUGUGGGGUGCUCGAGUGGCGAACGGGUGAGUAACACGUGAGUAACCUGCCCUUGACUUUGGGAUAACUUCAGGAAACUGGGGCUAAUACCGGAUAGGAGCUCCUGCUGCAUGGUGGGGGUUGGAAAGUUUCGGCGGUUGGGGAUGGACUCGCGGCUUAUCAGCUUGUUGGUGGGGUAGUGGCUUACCAAGGCUUUGACGGGUAGCCGGCCUGAGAGGGUGACCGGCCACAAUGGGGCUGAAGAACCGCCCCGGCUCCUAAGGGAGGCAGGAGGUGGGAAUAUUGCACAAUGGGGAGAAGCCUGAUGCAACAAAGCCGCGUGCGGGAAGACGGGCUUCGGGUUGUAAACCGCUUUCGCCUGUGACGAAGCGUGAGUGACGGUAAUUGGUAAAGAAGCACCGGCUAACUACGGG
rnacentral:rRNA from 1 species